rnacentral:rRNA from 1 species
GACGAACGCUGGCGGCGUGCUUAACACAUGCAAGUCGAACGGAAAGGCCCUGCUUUUGUGGGGUGCUCGAGUGGCGAACGGGUGAGUAACACGUGAGUAACCUGCACUUGACUUUGGGAUAACUUCAGGAAACUGGGGCUAAUACCGGAUAGGAGCUCCUGCUGCAUGGUGGGGGUUGGAAAGUUUCGGCGGUUGGGGAUGGACUCGCGGCUUAUCAGCUUGUUGGUGGGGUAGUGGCUUACCAAGGCUUUGACGGGUAGCCGGCCUGAGAGGGUGACCGGCCACAUUGGGACUGAGAUACGGCCCAGACUCCUACGGGAGGCAGCAGUGGGGAAUAUUGCACAAUGGGCGGAAGCCUGAUGCAGCAACGCCGCGUGCGGGAUGACGGCCUUCGGGUUGUAAACCGCUGUCGCCUGUGACGAAGCGUGAGUGACGGUAAUGGGUAAAGAAGCACCGGCUAACUACGUG